rnacentral:rRNA from 1 species
ACCUACGGGAGGCAGCAGUAGGGAAUCUUCCACAAUGGGCGAAAGCCUGAUGGAGCAACGCCGCGUGGGUGAAGAAGGUCUUCGGAUCGUAAAACCCUGUUGUUAGAGAAGAAAGUGCGUGAGAGUAACUGUUCACGUUUCGACGGUAUCUAACCAGAAAGCCACGGCUAACUACGUGCCAGCAGCCGCGGUAAUACGUAGGUGGUAAGCGUUAUCCGGGUUUAUUGGGCGUAAAGGGAACGCAGGCGGUCUUUUAAGUCUGAUGUGGAAGCCUUCGGCUUAACCGGAGUAGUGCAUUGGAAACU